rnacentral:lncRNA from 1 species
CUACCCCUUCAUAUUCUUUGCACCAUUCGUGUCCCCCCAAAGUUCACCCAACAAAUUAACACUCAUACAACAGAAAAUGGCCAAAUAGAGAACCCAAUAAGGGGUCAUUAAUGACCCUCGCCGUAAAAGCUCAUUAUGCGACUUCUAUCCUCAAAAUUUUGUUCUCCAAGCAAAGCUAGAAAACGAUGUUACUGGAAUCUCCAAUCUUCUCUCUAUUAUUUUCUUGAUUAUAAAUUCGGGCUUAUAUUUUUUUUUAAUUUGUUAUUUUUGUGUGAAAUUGUCUUUAAAUUGUUUGUUGUAAAAAAGAAAUUGGGCGGAGAAAUUGUGUUGUUAUGAUGGAGAUGAGAGUGGCAAGACUAGUGAGAAAAACUUUUGGUAGUUUCUCAUAGAUCUUGUUGCUGCUUUUUUCAGCUGGGGUUGGGACUGCUUUUGGAUCGAUAGAACUAGGCGAAGCUCCGAAGAUUACGUGCAGUAUGAGUUUUGUGGUGAAAGAUAAUAGUAUCUUGUGGUUUAGUUGCUGAUUUUGUAGCCUCUAUGGUGGAUUGAGGUGGUUUAGUAAAGAAUAAAAGGAAGAAGAGAGACUAAGUUUUUGUAAAGCUGUAUCUUGUGUUUUUG